UUUCUUUUGAUUUUCUAAAUAACAUCUUCUUUUCUCUAGCUUACUUUAUUGUAAGAAUACAGAAUGUAAUACACAUAACAUGUAAAAUAUGUGCUGAUUAACUGUUUAUGUUAUUACUAAGGCUUCCAGUCAAUAGUAGGUUAUUAGUAGUUAAGUUUUCAAAAAGUCAAAAAUUUUACAUAAAUUUACUGCUAUGUAGGGGAUAAGCACCACUAACCCCCGUGUUGUUCAAGGGUCGGCUAGACACACAUGC